AGAGUUUGAUCCUGGCUCAGGAUGAACGCUGGCGGCGUGCCUAAUACAUGCAAGUCGAACGCACAGCGAAAGGUGCUUGCACCUUUCAAGUGAGUGGCGAACGGGUGAGUAACACGUGGAUAACCUACCUCAAGGUUGGGGAUAACAUUUGGGAACAGAUGCUAAUACCGAAUAAAACUUCGUAUCGCAUGAUACAAGGUUAAAAGGCGCUACGGCGUCACCUAGAGAUGGAUCCGCGGUGCAUUAGUUAGUUGGUGGGGUAAAGGCCUACCAAGACAAUGAUGCAUAGCCGAGUUGAGAGACUGAUCGGCCACAUUGGGACUGAGACACGGCCCAAACUCCUACGGGAGGCUGCAGUAGGGAAUCUUCCACAAUGGGCGAAAGCCUGAUGGAGCAACGCCGCGUGUGUGAUGAAGGCUUUCGGGUCGUAAAGCACUGUUGUAUGGGAAGAACAGCUAGAGUAGGGAAUGACUUUAGUUUGACGGUACCAUACCAGAAAGGGACGGCUAAAUACGUGCCAGCAGCCGCGGUAAUACGUAUGUCCCGAGCGUUAUCCGGAUUUAUUGGGCGUAAAGCGAGCGCAGACGGUUGAUUAAGUCUGAUGUGAAAGCCCGGAGCUCAACUCCGGAAAGGCAUUGGAAACUGGUCAACUUGAGUGCAGUAGAGGUAAGUGGAACUCCAUGUGUAGCGGUGGAAUGCGUAGAUAUAUGGAAGAACACCAGCGGCGAAGGCGGCUUACUGGACUGUAACUGACGUUGAGGCUCGAAAGUGUGGGUAGCAAACAGGAUUAGAUACCCUGGUAGUCCACACCGUAAACGAUGAACACUAGGUGUUAGGAGGUUUCCGCCUCUUAGUGCCGAAGCUAACGCAUUAAGUGUUCCGCCUGGGGAGUACGACCGCAAGGUUGAAACUCAAAGGAAUUGACGGGGACCCGCACAAGCGGUGGAGCAUGUGGUUUAAUUCGAAGCAACGCGAAGAACCUUACCAGGUCUUGACAUCCUUUGAAGCUUUUAGAGAUAGAAGUGUUCUCUUCGGAGACAAAGUGACAGGUGGUGCAUGGUCGUCGUCAGCUCGUGUCGUGAGAUGUUGGGUUAAGUCCCGCAACGAGCGCAACCCUUAUUGUUAGUUGCCAGCAUUCAGAUGGGCACUCUAGCGAGACUGCCGGUGACAAACCGGAGGAAGGCGGGGACGACGUCAGAUCAUCAUGCCCCUUAUGACCUGGGCUACACACGUGCUACAAUGGCGUAUACAACGAGUUGCCAACCUGUGAAGGUGAGCUAAUCUCUUAAAGUACGUCUCAGUUCGGACUGCGGUCUGCAACUCGACUGCACGAAGUCGGAAUCGCUAGUAAUCGCGGAUCAGCACGCCGCGGUGAAUACGUUCCCGGGUCUUGCACUCACCGCCCGUCA
rnacentral:rRNA from 1 species